rnacentral:lncRNA from 1 species
CAAGCGAUCCACCCACCUUGGCCUCUGAAAGUGUUGGGAUUACAGGCGUGAGCCACCGUGCCUGGCCUAUUUUUUGUUUUAUUUUUUUAAUCUUGAAAUAACUCCACAGUUAUCUCCAAGAAAAUGGCAUCAUUGACACACCUGACAGAUGAAAACUGCUAUUAAGGUCGAGUCCAAGUGACAAAACUUUCUUGACUGUUCUGAGGCCUUGGUUACGGUGGCAUUAAAGUUCUAUACUGUUUUUUUUUUUUUUUUUUUUUUUUUGGCUGGACAACAGACUCUCCAAAAAAAUGCAUGUGUAUACAUUAUGCUUAUUAUAAAAUUUACUAAUAAAAUGACAUGGAAGACAAUUAAAAUUAUAAUAAAAUAUACAAUGCUCAACAUUUAAAUUCUAUAUGGCCAAUUGAUUCUUACAGAAUGCCUUUUUGAUUUUUGUCCAACUCUUGCAUCUGUAGUCAACCUGUGGUCGCAAUUGACAGAAGAGUUUAAUUCUUUCUUUGUGCUCUUACUCCUGGGUCCCUCAUUGUACAGUGAUCAUCAAAUGCAACAUCCUUCAUGAAAAUGAAUAGCUUCACUUUUUGGCAUUUCCUUCCUUUUUAUGUGUCAUAGAAUACACUACAUUAUUCUUGAUUUUACAGUUAAUUUGUAAAUUGUUUCUAACCCCCACUAGUUUAUAAACUCCUUAAGAAUGAGAAGCUUGCAUUAAUCACUUCUAUAUAUAUAGUGUUUUGAAUAUCCUUGGCAUUCAUUAAAUGUUUAGUGAAUUGAAUGCGAUGUUUCUUCCAGACUAUGACCAAUAAUUGUGAGAAGAUUUUAUGUGUUUUUAAAUUCAACUUUAGAGAAUUUCUUUUUGUGUAAUAGGACAUUUGUUGGACAGCAACAUGUAAUUACUCAUAAAAUGUUUCUCUGCGGAGUCCAGCAUCCUUCAUUUGUGAUAGGACUCAUCCAGUUAAAUUGCUCAGGCACUAUAAUGGACUAUUUAUGUUCUGUUGAUGUAAAUUUCUAGAACAGGCCUUUCCCUGGACUCAUGCCAUGUUUUGUAUGUUAUCUUGUGCAGGCAGCACAUGGGGACCUAGUCAGGCUUCCUGAUAUGAUAGCUGUAUAUACAGCCCAUGUCUCAGAGGGGAAUGAUAAAUUGGCCUGUGCAGUGACACAAUACACAGUUAUUUUGGUGACAGUAUUAACUCUCUUUUCAUAAGGGUGCUUUGUUGGAAAACUAUUCAGCUUAACACAGAAUAUUUAGCUUUCAAAGGUUGCAUAGGGAGAAAUGAUACUGCCAGGAUAGAAACAUUAUCAGUUUUUUCUUUCUUUUUUUUUUUUUUUAAUCUUUUUUGACUCUACCGAGAAUAUUGAAAAGAGUUUUGAUUAGUAUUGGUGUUUAUUACGAGAGGAACAUUCUGGGAACCAGACUAUUAGUAUAAUUAUUAUUGUUUUUAUUAUCAAACUAAUAGCACUAACAAGGACAUACGGUAUUUGUCAAGGGAUUCCUAUAUCUCUGUUACACCUAAAUUUCUCUAUACUCUAAUUUUAGAAAAAAAGUUUUGUCUUCCAACUGUGAAUACUUUAUAGUGUUGCAACUUCUGCUUCUAAUCUUUAAUCUGAAGUAGAAAAGAGAAUCCAAGCUUCCAAGAAGUAUGUCUCUAGACUCUGCCACUUAUUAACUUGCUCCUUAUUUUUUCUCUCCAACAAUUAUUUUAAGAUCUGUAUGAUAUAAGCUAUUUUUAGAAGAACUGAAAAGUUCUAGAGAGUAAAAAAAUGUUCCAGAUUGUGUGUUGGUGCCAGUAGUACUGACAAUUAAAUAUUUGAUUGAGGAGAAACCUACAUUUAUCCACUUUGAAGAGGAUCAUCAGGGGAGUUAAAAAUUUAGUACUUCAGGCUCAUUAAGAGUUAGAAUAGAGUAAUUAUGUAGCUGGUAACAAAUGCUACAAUCACCACUUGAGCAUUGUGAUAUGUUACUCAUUGAGACUUACUGGCCUUCUUCAGGGAACUUCAGAUUUUAUAAAAGUCAUUUGCUUAGAGAGUAAAGUUCUGCUAAUCCAUUAUUUUAGUUCUGUCAUCUUUUUCUGCAAAUAGGGUGAGUUUUCCGAGAGGGUAAGUCCCUGGUAAUAAUCUUAAAAAUGAUACAACUUUACAGAAUAUCUCCCCUUGCCAUGAAGCAAUACUUAAUGUCUUGAACAGUGAGCCUCUUGUUCAUGCAGCAUUUAAAAGAGAUGAGUGUAGAGGUCUUCCUUCUACAUUCAUUUUAUUCGUUAGUAAUUGAGAAGCAGGUCUAAUUUUCUAAUCUUGCAAGUUGGGAAAUUAUUAAAAUGCUCAAGAGACAGUAGAUCAAGCCUGGUGUCCCUUUCUCCAUCAAAUUUUAAAGGAUUUUUUUUUCCUCAGUAAUUCUGCCUUUGUGUAUUUCCAAUCUUGCUUCCUAUUUGCAUUGCACACAGUGGCAUGUCAAUUUCAAAAGAAAAUGUAUUCAGAUCUACUUUCAAACUAACUGAAAGAGAUAGUGGUAUUUAUUUUAUCCUGAGGUUUUGUUGUUGUUGUUAUGGUUGUUCUUUGUUUUUUAAAUCUGGACAUAUCAGUAAUCUCCUAAGAGAAUCUAUUCCAAACACAGAGACUGUUUAUUCUUGUUUUAGAUACUGUUUUAAAAGCCAGGUUAUGUUAUUAUAGUAUAGAUAUUUUAAAAAAUAAUGAAAACAGAGUUUUUUUAACCAUAUUUUUGUACUGCAUAAAAAUGCAGUGACAAGAGAAAAACAUUAGAACUCUGUCAUACUCCUAAUAUAGACCAUUGCUGUUAGGUUUCUAACUCCAUGUUCCCUGUCUGGAAGCUUUAUAAGGCCGUGCCUUAGUCUUCUUAAGCCUAACACAUUGUAGCCUUCCAAUAAAUAUUACUUUAUUUGUAUUAAAUUUAAAAUGGAAUAGAAUGUGGUACAUCACCAGCGUUCAUAGCUCCUGACCCAUGCCAUAACUUUCCUUGCCCCAUCCCCAAGAUUAAAAAAACACAAACUAUUAGACUAAUUAUAGUCAUUACAGUUGUAAAUUAGGUCAUGCAUUUCAUUAAAAAUUGACGCAGCUCCCUUUUUGAAAGGCUAUGUCACGGAAAUGCAAACUAGCCUUGUAUAUAGAACACUAAAAUCAUUUAACUUGAAUUAUUCUAAUUACGAUACCACAAAGAUUAAAAAAUACAUCUAUAUUAUCUCAGUCUGAUAACUGGGCUGGGAAAAAAUGUCAGUUUUGAUAUGUAACAAGAUUGGUAUGAGUUAUUUUACGUGACAGUUUUAUUGAUUGAUUUUUUUCAUUUAUAAUCACUAAUUUUGUGAGGUUUUCUCCCCUGCAGCAGUGGACUGAAAAAGUUAACAUUUUUCUGGCAUUUUUUAAGCGCUAAGAGUAGAAAUCAAUAGUUAAAUUGACCUAAUAAAAGAUCUGUGCAUCCUACUACUGUGACAAGAAGAGCAACAGAAAGCAACAUGUAUAGACUCUUAACAAGGCUCAAGGCACAUUUUGGAUUUGUUUUGCAUAUGAAUUUAAUAAGCAUGAGACAGUGCUAGUGAAUUACAUUUGUUUUAUUGAGUCUAUUUAAGCCAGGAUACUGUUAAGUAAUAGACUGACGGUUUGUGGGAGCCAGAUUCAGUAACAGGUCAGCAACAGACUUGCCACAUGCCAAAAAUGGGGUUAUACUGGUUUCAGUUUGCUAACUGCCUAAGUAAACUUGUGUAGAAUUUGCAUUUUUUGCUUUGCAAUUACUGGUUACUUCUCUUUAACAUUACAUUUGCAUUCUAUGUAAAAAAUAGAUUUUAUAUUUAAUUCAAAAUUUAUCCAAAUGUACUUACUCAUUGGACAUUAUUUUUAAAUGAUAAAGGAACUUAAAAAAGUGAUAGGAUCAAUAUAGUAAUAAUUCUAACUCCCUUUUAUACCCAUAUAAAAUUCAUUUAACUAGACUUAUUCAUUCAACAAUAUUGUUAAAUAACCUAAAGGAAUUUUUUUAAAGAAAUAGUGUAAACAUACAAAUAUGAAUAAUUUGAACUCCCUUUUAUAUAAAUAUAUCUGUAGUCACUAACUGUAAAUAAUUUAAAAAAUAUAUAUGUACACACACGUGCGUGCACACACACACACACGUCAUGCCUUAACAAUGGGGAUAUAUUCUGUGUGUCAUUAGGGUAUUUCAUUGUUGUGUGUACAUCAUAGAGUAUACUUACACAAACCUAAAUGGUAUAGCCUACUACACAUCUAGGCUGUAUAGUACGGCCUAUUGCUCCUAGGCUGCAAACGUAUACAGCCUGUUAUCCUAUUGAAUACUGUAGGCAGUUGUAACAUAAUGUUAUGUAUUUGUGUAUCAAAACAUACUCAAACGUAGAAAAGAUAUUGUGUUGUGCUAUGAGGUUAUGAUGUCUACAAAUGUCACUGGGUGGUAGGAAUUUUUCAGCUCCAUUGUAAUCUUAUGGGACCACCAUCAUAUAUGUGGGUCCUUUGUUGACUGAAGCGUUGUUAUACAGCUAUUGACUAUAGUUAGUGAAAAAAUCUAGUUCUAUGAUUGGUUUUGUUCCCUCCUUUCUUAUGAUCACUAUUCAUUCAACACCUUUUAUAUGACAUGCAGUUUGAAAGCACAGGGUAUGCAAAAAUUAUCCCCGUUUUCGGUUGCAGUAUCUGUUGCUGACCCAGAUAACUUCAUUUCCUUCAGCUGUGCUUUCAUUUUCAACUUCUCUAGUUGGAAAUAAAUCCUCUUGUGUUGCCCCUUGAGGGAGAAAUCGUUUAGCAGGAAAUCACUUACUAAUCACAGUUCAUUAAUCACAUAUAAAGAAUACUUUAUAAAUGUCAACUGUCAUUCAUAGAAAAUGUAUGUUACCUUGAGGAAUGUCUAUGAAUUACUUAUUCAUUUUCAUUGCCUUUCACACAUUAUAUUCCUUAGGAGUUUAUUAAUUUCAAAUAUAAAUUGACUAUGACUUAUACAGAGUCUUGCAAACAAGAGAGAUAGCAGUUUUGCACCUUUUCUUUGAUUUACUUGUUAUCUUCCUGGUCAUGUAGUUAGUCUGUUAAAGUCACUCUGCCUGUAUAGCUUGUUGAAGGUUACAGGCAGUGGAGUGCUGGAACUGGUUUAUGUCGAGACCUCUUCCCAAUUCCAUGUUCAAUGAUGUCUUUGUUGAUAGCUUAAAAUUGGCUAUGGUGAGAGCGUUUACACUUUGGAAAUUGGCAGAUGGCAACCAUAGUUCUCUCCUAGACAACCACUUAUUAAACCUUUAGCAGCACUCACUGUUUAUAGUGUUCUUUUUCGUUUUUUAAAAAUACUUUUAUUAUGAGGAAUAGCCAUGUAGAAUUUUAUUUCCAGAUAUUUUGUUGUUUAAAACCCUAAGAACAUCACUCACUAUACCAAUUGCCAACUGAGUAACUGGGAAAGUUACUUAGCUUUUCUGUGCCCAAAUGUCCUUAUCUGUAAGACGGGGAUGAUAAUAAUAGCACGUACCUUGGGAUUGAUGUGAGGUUGAAUAAGAAACACAUUUAUUUCAGUGAAUACAUAAUGACCUGGAAUGAAUACUCAAAUAAUGCUACCUGUUAUCUCUCUGUACUUUAAUUAAUAGAUAUUUAUUGAUCCCUUACUAAGUACUUAGCAUUUUGCCAUGUACAGUGGGUCAUCUACUGAGACUCAGUACCUCCCACAUCAAGUUAUUAGCCACAUUGACCUGUGGCAAAUGACUUCUUUUGAUGUUCCCAUGUAAUGCCACAUACCCGCCCCCCCCCGCCCGCUUUUUUUUCAUUUGUUUUUGUUUGUUUUUUGGUCUUUCUGCCUGGGACUCUUUUUUCUUCCUACAUGAGUUUUGCAGACCUUUUCCAUGUUUAUAUAUGGCUCAUACAUUCCCUCCUCUAGAAAGCUUCUCCUCACUCUAGACCUGGCCACAUAACUGUUUUGCCUCUUUGCUUAUGUAGUUUGGAGUAUGAAUCAUAAUAAUUAUGUAUCUUACUCCAUCUCUGCAUUUGAUUCCACAGCCUACGACUUACACCUUUGUGUUCUUAACCUCUUAGUAAGAAAUGCCUGACACGUAGUAGACUGACUAGAAGUGUACAUUGAAUGUUUGCUGGUUAAAGGAAUGGAACAUGGACUUCACUCAUAGAGACCUUACUAUUUGGUUGAAGAGAUAAUGCAUACACAUGUGACAUGAAGGUAAACACAAAAUAUAUUGAAGAUAUCUGUAUUUUAUUUUUUUUAGUUUAUAGUUAAUUUUUACAUACUAUAUAUUUUUGUAGUAGGUAAGUCAAUUAUUUUCAUGCUACAGAUAUGGACAUUUAUGUAUUUAUGUACAAAUACAUUGAUUUAGGUUAUCUAGGCCAGAUUGUAAGUAGCAAAGCCCUGUUUGUAAACCAGGUUUUGUGACUUCAGGUUAGAAAUAUUAAAAAAAAAAAAAAAUCCUUAAUUGCUCUUCCAGAUAUGAACUCAUUCUUUUUUUUUUUCCCCUGUGAUUUCUGUCUUUUUUGUUUGUUAAGUUUAAAAAAUUUAUGGCAAUUUUUAAAUGUACAUAAUAUUAGAGAAACAAUAUAACAACCCCCUCCAUAUAUCUAUCAGUCAGCAUUUUGUAUGCAUGUAUCCGUAUGUGCAUCAGCCAACAUUUUGCCCUUUUUGUUACCUUUCACACUCCUUUUACCCCUGUAGCAUGUUAAAAGAAGUCUCAGACAUCCUAUCAUGUCACUUAUACUUCUUCAGUAGUAUCUCUGACAGUUAAGAACUUAUUUUAAAUAUAACUCCAUUUCCAAAUCUAUGAAAAUUGACGACAAUUUUAUUGUAUCAUUUGAUAGCCACUUUAUGUUCAACUUUUCCUGAUUGUCACAGCAAUGUCCUUUUUUAAUAGGUACGUUUUUCCAGUUAGCAUCUAUGGUGUCAUUUAGCUUGUUCUUCCAUCAUCCUUAUUUUCUGUAAACUGAAAAUUAGAGUCGAGUUUAACUUUAAUGUUAUUUAUUAUUAUUUGGGGGGAACAUUUCCUGGAAGGUUCUGUAUACUUUCUAUUUCAUCAUAUCAAGAGGACAUAAUUUUAGUAAUCCCUGCUUUUAAUGAUGCUGCAAUCUAUCAGUGAAUCAGAUUGGCCUGGGCCAAUCCUUAUAAAGUUCUCCAUCAGACUUGGAUCCAAUGAUUUCACCUCAUUGUUGAUCAUUUUGUAGCCAUGAUAUUUUUUAGAGUUUGCAAAAAUGGUGACUUUUAAUUAUAUAAUUUCUGCUGCGUUUAUUAUCAAGAAUUUUUUUCAUAAAGAUCUUUUCAUAGUAACUAAUGGUCAACUUCAAAACAUAGUUUAUAUCAGAAAAAGGGAAAAAAUGCAUGAUAUUUAUCAAUUUUCAGAAUCAGAUAUUCUCUUCUAACAUAAGAUCUAAAUAAGCUUACACAUAUAAUCAAGGAUGCCAGUAAAUUUUUCUAAAAAAUUUUUCCCUUGGGAAAAUUAUUUAUUUAUUUAUUUAUUUAUUUAUUUAUUUAUUUAUUGAGACAGAGUUUCACUAUUGUCUCCCAGGCUGGAGUGCAGUGGUGCAAUCUUGGCUCACUGCAACGUCUGCCUCCUGGGUUCAAGUGAUUCUCCUGGCUUAGCCUCCCGAGUAGCUGGAAUUACAGGCAUGCACCACCAUGCCCAGCUAAUUUUUUUGUGUGUAUUUUUAGUAGAGAUGGGGUUUCAUCAUAUUGACCAGGCUGGUCUUGAACUCCUGACCUCAAAUGAUCUGCCUGCCUUGGCCUCCCGAAGUGCUGGGAUUACAGGCGUGAGCCACUGCGCUCGGCUGAUAAAUUAUUUGAAUUGCUUCUCCUAAUUUUUUUUGAUUAAUAUGUUUUGAUAACAUUGUUCCUAUGGUAAUAUUAUCAAAAAAGUUUUCUUUCCUUCCUUUUUGUUUAUCAUUAAUGUGCCUCUGUAUGGUUGAAUUUAUUUACUCAGAAGAUAUUUAUUGGGCAUCUGUCUUUUUUUAUCAAGCUCUGUGCUAGUCCCUGAGGAUGUAGAUAUGAGCCCUGCUUUUUUCUUUUCUUUCUUUCUUUUUUUUUAUUUGAGACAGACUCUCACUCUGUCACUCAGGCUGAGUGCAGUGGCAUGAUCUUGGCUCACUGCAACCGCCGCCUCCUAGGUUUAAGUGAUUCUCCUGCCUCAGCCUCCUAAGUAGGUGAGAUAACAGGCAUGGGCCACCAUACCCAGCUAAUUUUUGUAUUUUUGGUAGAGAUGGGGUUUCACCCAUGUUGGCCAGGCUGGUCUCAAACUCCUGGCCUCAAGUGAUCUGUCUGCCUUGGCCUCCCAAAGUGCUGGGAUUAUAGGCUUAAGCCACUGUGACCGGCUGCUUUUUUCCUAGAAUAUAUAGUUUGGGUUUCUUUUCCACUCGUGAUGUGAUUUAAAAAAUUGAACCUGUUGUAUAUGAAUGUGGUUUUGUAAACUAUAAUAUUUGGUAUCAUAUACUAUAUUUUUUUCUAUAUAUAUAUAUGCUACUAUAUAGUCAUAUAGUAGCAUUUUUUUUUAUAGCUUUCUUUGGAGUUCUUGGUCUUAGUGUCUAAAAUAGUGGCCAUAAAGGAAUUUGGAAGUUAAGUUGUUCUUGCUGACCCAAAGAAAAAUCAGAUGUUUCUGUUUAGGACACUGUAUGUGACAAACAAGGAAGUUUUUAUUAAUUUAUUUUUUUGAAGAAGAAUUGAUGAGAGAAUAAUGAGAAUUCCUCCAAGAUUAAAAGUAAAUUAUAAGAUCCUGUGCUAUUUUAAUGUAAGCCAACAUUUGAAUUUAAUUUGACUUCUAUUUUCAGUAAAUUAGAGUGAAAUUUUAGGGAUGUCUUUAUCUCCUAUAGUGUGUGUUUUGCCAAGAUUUAUUAAGGGUAAUUUUGGAUUUUAGAAAAUGUACAGUUUCUAAAGGCUUGUGAACGUUUUAUAUUGAUAGAAAAUGUAAGUAAGACUAGUAACACAUUAUUUUCUCCAAAGGAUCCUGUGACUGACACAAAAAAUAUGAUAUAAUAUUGAAUCUGCCAAAAGAUGCACUGUUAAUCUAGGGUUAUGUUAUGUUGUUAUUUUAUUAGGUAUGUGAUACUAUGGUGUGAAUUUUAGAAUAUAGGUAAUUAUUUAAGUAAUUACUGUAAUUCUAAACAUCUUCUGAGAUGUUUUCUCUAAAGCAGAAACUCAGCUUUUACUCAUGUUUAGAUAAUGUGAUAUAGCUGUUCUAGAUAUUUGAGAUUAGGGUUGAGGCAAAUUGUUGACAUAUAAUUAAAAUGUAUUUUAUAACUAAAAUUUAGAAGAAUGGAAAAAGUUUACAUUGUAUUUAUAAGACUUUGCUAACAUGCUUUAUGACAUUACGGAGAAGUACUAGGAAGAAGGAGAUCUUUAAAAGGAGUGAUAUUCUGUUUGCUUUGCUGGAGUACCUUAUCAGGAAAUUUGAAAUCUUAGCCCUUUAAUUGUGAUAUCUGUUAAUUCUAAAACUUACACUGAAUUUAACUUUGAAGGUCAACAUAUGGAUUUUUUUAAAAACAAUAUUUACUCUAUCAAAAGAUUAGUUGUAUUUUUGACUUGAGGAAAUAGCUUAAUCUGAACAGCACGAAACUUGACAAAAAAGUUUGCUAAUACAUAAAUAUUGGCUAUUUUAAUCUGUUGAAAACGGAAGGCUAGUACCAAGGGAGACGGUAGUAAAAUUAUAGAAGGAGCUAGUGAAAAGUAAACAUUAUGCAACAUGAAAAGAAUACUAGGGGAAAAACUGACAGAGUAGAAUAACAGGAAGAUUAGUCACUUCUGGAAGGAAAAAAGUAGGUAGGGGCAGGGGGAUGAAGUACUUUAAACAGGAAUGUGGAACUGGAAGUGCUAGGGCUAAAAGACAGAUGUGAGCUUAUUUGGGAGCUAAACUGGGCUUUGAAAAAGGAAUAAUACUGGUAGCAUUUAAUAUCAAAAUUUAAAUUUUAUGUUAACAAUA